CCUGUAAAAGCAUAUCCUGUACUCAAAUUAACAGCUCCAUCAGUGUGCAAAUGAAUCCAAUUUAUCGAAAGAGAAUUCGUGAAUCUUCUAUUCAAAGCUUCGUACUUCAAAAUUGUUUCGCCCAUGUAAGACCCAAUUUAUGCCCGGGCCCGAAUAUUAAAAAAGGAUAAACAACAGUCCAAUUACAAAGGAAAAUAGCAAGCCCAAUGUAGUCCAUGGCCCAAAACAAAAAUAAACACUAGCCCACAAAACCUAAAACAUUUUCAGCCAAGAGCAAACCUUAGGCUGCAUGCCUGCCUCUAGCCUCUGUCGCCGCCUGCCAUGCCUCUAGCGCACGCCGGCCUACUCGCACGCCUCUGCCAUCGCCUGUACCAACGCGUCUGACACCUGCAAAACGAGCAACACGCAACAACAAAAGAAACAAACAGCAAACAGACAAAAAAUAGAAAUUAAGAAGUUGUUUAGAUUGGCUAUAAAGCCAAAAAUGAAAGACUUGUAAUCUUCUUCUUCUCUUGGACAAAUCUGGAGAAAUAAAAAGAAAGAAACAAAGUUUUAAGGAUUCUCUUUAUUUUCAAUCUUUCUAUAUUCUUUUACCUUUAUUUUCUUUAUUAUUGUUUUUUUAUUUUUGAUAAACGAAAAUAAAAGGAGGAAAGAAAUACCUGGGGCGCCCUUGGCCGCGUCGUCGGAGCCCUCUCCGUCGCCGAAAUCGGCUCUAAAGGCGGGGCCAAAAGGUUCUUUCUCUCGGUAUUCAGGCCAAGCAAGCUCGGCCUCUGAACAGGAUCUGAAACGGGGCUCAAAGUAUCCCCUAUGCGCAGCGACGGCCACCGUCCAAGGCGAUCACGGCGGUGCAUGGCAAUGGCCUUGUUGGCCGGAUCUGGAAAGGCUGAGAGGGAGAGACCCUUGGCUCUCUGUUUUUUCUUUCUAAAAGUAAAGGAGGGGACUUCUUUUGUUUUUUU
rnacentral:lncRNA from 1 species